ensembl:lncRNA
AUGGGUGGCAGUGAUGGUCAGGGACCUCGACGGACCAGACCCGGGCAGCAGAGGCUGGCUCUGGGGACGUGGAACGUCACCUCUCUGUGGGGGAAGGAGCCGGAACUAGUGCGGGAGGUGGAUCGCUACCAGUUGGAUCUGGUGGGGCUUACCUCCACGCACAGUCUUGGCUCUGGAACCGUACUCCUGGAUAGGGGUUGGACUCUAUUCUUCUCCGGAGAUGCCCAAGGUGUGAGGCGUCGGGCCGGGGUGGGGAGUUGGAUCAAGGGGUGGGGGAAGACUCUGGACAGACCUGGUAAACCCAAACGGGUAGUGCGGGUGAACUGGGAACGUCUGGAAGAAGCCCCUGUCCUGGGGAUCUUUAACUCACACCUCCGGCGGAGCUUUUCAGCCAUCCCUGUGGAGGUUGGGGGCAUUGAACCUGAGUGGGCGAUGUUCAAAACCUCUAUUGCUGAAGCUGCGGUGAUGAGCUGUGGUCUCAAGGUCUUAGGUGCCUCAAGGGGCGGUAACCCUCGAACACCGUGGUGGACCCCGGUGGUCAGGGAAGCCGUCCGACUGAAGAAGGAGUCCUUCCGGGUUAUGUUAUCCGGGAGGACUCCGGAAACAGUUGCAGGGUAUCGAAGGACUAGAAGGGCGGCAGCUUCUGCAGUGUCAGAGGCAAAGCAGCGGGUGUGGGAGAAGUUCGGAGAAGCUAUGGAGAAGGACUUUCGGUCGGCACCAAGGUGCUUCUGGAAAACCAUCCGGCACCUCAGGAGGGGGAAGCGAGGAACCAUCCAAGCUGUGUACAGCAAGGGUGGGACCCUGCUGACUUCAACUGAGAAGGUUAUCGGCCGCUGGAAGGAGCACUUUGAGGAACUCCUGAAUCCGACUAACACGCCCUCUAUGGUUGAGGCAGAGCUGGAAGCUGAUGGGGGAUCAUCGUCAAUUUCCCUGAUGGAAGUCACUGAGGUAGUCAAACAACUCCACAGUGGCAAAGCCGCAGAGGUUGAUGAGAUCCGUCCAGAAAUGCAGAAGGCUUUGGGUGUUGAGGGGCUGUCUUGGUUGACACGCCUCGUCAACAUUGCGUGGAAGUCUGGGACAGUGCCUAGGGGUUGGCAGACUAGGGUGGUGGUUCCCCUAUUUAAAAAGGGGGACCAGAGAGUGUGUGCCAACUACAGGGGUAUCACACUUCUCAGCCUCCCUGGUAAAGUCUACUCCAAGGUACUGGAAAGGAGGGUUCGGCCGGUAGUCGAACCUCUGAUUGAAGAGGAACAAUGCGGAUUCCGUCCUGGUCGUGGAACAACGGACCAACUCUUCACUCUCGCAAGGAUCCUGGAGGGGGCCUGGGAGUACGCCCAUCCGGUCUACAUGUGUUUUGUGGAUCUGGAGAAGGCGUAUGACCGGGUCCCCCGGGUGAUACUGUGGGAGGUGCUGCGGGAGUAUGGGAUAUCGAGGCGUAGUCGUGGAGGAGAGGGGUUGCAGUUCGGUGACCUGAGGAUCUCAUCGCUGCUCUUUGCAGAUGAUGUGGUCCUUAUGGCAUCAUCGGUCUGUGACCUUCAACAGUCACUGGAUCGGUUCGCAGCUGAGUGUGAAGCGGUUGGGAUGAGGAUCAGCACCUCCAAAUCUGAGGCCAUGGCUCUCAGCAGGAAACCGGUGGAUUGCCUACUCCGGGUAGGGAAUGAGCCAUUACCCCAAGUGAAGGAGUUCAAGUACCUCGGGGUCUUGUGA